GUCUCAGUUCAGAUUGCAGUCUGCAACUCGACUGCAUGAAGUCGGAAUCGCUAGUAAUCGCAGAUCAGCAAAGCUGCGGUGAAUAACGUUCCCGGGGCCUUGUGCACACCGCCCGUCACACCACGGGAGUCGGUCGCGCCUGAAGCCGGUGGCCUAUCAGUAAUGGGGGAGCCGUCUAUGGCGAGAUUGGUAACUGGGGUGAAGUCGUAACAAGGUACC
rnacentral:rRNA from 1 species